UACGACUACAUAUCAGGCAUAUCAAUAAGCGGAGGAAAAGAAACUAACUAGGAUUCCCUCAGUAACGGCGAGUGAAGCGGGAAGAGCUCAAAUUUGAAAUCUUACAAGGUUCUACCUUGACGAAUUGUAGUUUAAAGAAGUGUUUUCUGUUGGAGUUUUGGUAAAAGUUCUUUGGAAUAGGACAUCAUAGAGGGUGAGAAUCCCGUAUUUGACCAUUAUUUCCAGCUUUGUGAUACACUUUCAAAGAGUCGGAUUGUUUGGGAAUGCAGUCCAAAAUGGGUGGUAAAUUUCAUCUAAAGCUAAAUAUUGGCGAGAGACCGAUAGCGAACAAGUACCGUGAGGGAAAGAUGAAAAGAACUUUGAAAAGAGAGUUAAACAGUACGUGAAAUUGUCAAAAGGGAAGCGUUUGACACCAGUGUUGUUUCUACGAAAAUCAAUUUAUGAUGGCUUGAUGCUAAGCUUUAAGACUUUAUCCGCUUGUUGUUUAGUUUUCUUGUCUUUGUGAAUGCACUUUUCGUGGAACAAGUCAACAUCAAUUUCUUUUGCUGUAAAAGGGUAAGAGGAAGGUGGCUUCGGCUUCGGUUGAAGUGUUUAUAGCCUUUUAUCUCUGCAGUCGGAGAGAUUGAGGUCUGCAGCGUAGACUCUUCGGGGUUAGAUACGUCGGUGCUAAGCUAUAGCUUUUCAUAGACAACUUGUUGACUAUGUUUAGUCAUGUGGCUUACCCGCUGGCGCUAUUUUACCUACGCUUAGGAUGUUGACACACGCGCGUGCUCG
rnacentral:rRNA from 1 species